UACGGAGGGUGCAAGCGUUAAUCGGAAUUACUGGGCGUAAAGCGCACGCAGGUGGCUGAGUCAGUCGAUUGUGAAAUCCCGAGGCUCAACCUCGGAACUGCGUCUGAAACUACUCGACUAGAGUACUGGAGAGGGUAACGGAAUUCACGGUGUAGCAGUGAAAUGCGUAGAUAUCGUGAGGAACACCAGAGGCGAAGGCGGUUACCUGGACAGUUACUGACGCUCAGGCACGAAAGCAUGGGGAGCAAAAGGG
rnacentral:rRNA from 1 species